rnacentral:snRNA from 14 species
AUGUAUGUUAUUUCUUCCUCAAGGCCUUCCUUAAGACCUGUAGUACAAUUUUUGGAGACCCUGUCCUUUAGUAGGGUG